rnacentral:rRNA from 1 species
AACGAACGCUGGCGGCGUGCUUAACACAUGCAAGUCGAACGCGAAAGUUUUCUUCGGAAGACGAGUAGAGUGGCGCACGGGUGAGUAACGCGUAAGUAAUCUACCCUGGUAUCUGGGAUAACCCACCGAAAGGUGUGCUAAUACCGGAUACGCUGAUUUAUCAGGAAAGGUGGCCUCUUCAUGAAAGCUACCGUACCAGGAGGAGCUUGCGUACCAUUAGCUAGUUGGUAGGGUAAAGGCCUACCAAGGCGACGAUGGUUAGCGGGUCUGAGAGGAUGAUCCGCCACACUGGAACUGGAACACGGACCAGACUCCUACGGGAGGCAGCAGUGAGGAAUAUUGCGCAAUGGGGGAAACCCUGACGCAGCGACGCCGCGUGGAUGAUGAAGGCUUUCGGGUCGUAAAAUCCUGUCAGAUGGAAAGAAAUGCACAUGUACUAAUAUUACUUGUGUUUGACGGUACCAUCAAAGAAGCACCGCUAAC